rnacentral:rRNA from 1 species
UCAAGUUAUUAAGGGUGCAGGGCGGAUGCCUUGGCACUAGGAGCCGAUGAAGGACGUGAUAAGCUGCGAUAAGCUUCGGGGAGUUGCACGUAAACUUUGAUCCGAAGAUUUCCGAAUGAGGAAACUCACUUAGAGUAAUGUCUAAGUAUCAUUAAGUGAAUACAUAGCUUAAUGAGGGGAACUCAGGGAACUGAAACAUCUAAGUACCUGAAGGAAGAGAAAGAAAUUCGAUUCCGUAAGUAGCGGCGAGCGAACGCGGAUUAGCCCAAACCAAUAAAGUUUUCUUUGUUGGGGUUGCGGACAUAUCAUAACGAAGAGGUAUCGUAAUUGAAGAGGUUUGGAAAGACCCACCACAGAAGGUAAUAGUCCUGUAUGUUAAACGAGAAGACUUUAGAUAUGAUCCAGAGUACCACGGGACACGUGAAACCCUGUGGGAAGCAGGAGGGACCACCCUCCAAGGCUAAAUACUACCUAGUGACCGAUAGCGUAUAGUACCGUGAGGGAAAGGUGAAAAGAACCCCGGGAGGGGAGUGAAAUAGAACCUGAAACCCUGCACUUACAAGCUGUGGAAGCACAUUUCUUGUGUGACCGCGUACUUUUUGUAGAACGGGCCAACGAGUUACGUUAAGUAGCAAGGUUAAGCACUUAAGGUGNNNNNNNNNNNNNNGGAGCCGUAGCGAAAGCGAGUUUUAACUGAGCGUUCAGUUACUUGACGUAGACCCGAAACCGGGCGACCUACCCAUGAGCAGGAUGAAGCGAAAGUAAAAUUUCGUGGAGGUCCGAACCCACGAGCGUUGAAAAGCUCGGGGAUGACUUGUGGGUAGCGGUGAAAUUCCAAUCGAGCCCGGAGAUAGCUGGUUCUCCCCGAAAUAGCUUUAGGGCUAGCCUCAAGGUGAGAGAUACGGAGGUAGAGCACUGAAUGUCCUAGGGGGUAUUGCACCUACCGAAGACUAUCAAACUCCGAAUGCCGUCAUCUUAUACUUGGGAGUCAGACUGUGGGUGAUAAGAUUCAUAGUCGAAAGGGCAACAGCCCAGAUCGUCAGCUAAGGUCCCUAAAUGUAAGUUAAGUGGUAAAGGAUGUGGGAUUGCACAGACAACCAGGAUGUUGGCUUAGAAGCAGCCACUCAUUCAAAGAGUGCGUAAUAGCUCACUGGUCGAGUGAUCCUGCGCCGAAGAUUUCCGGGGCUAAAACUUACUACCGAAGCUACGGCAUCAGUAAUGAUGGGUAGGGGAGCUUCCCAUACGGGUUGAAGCAUGACCGUAAGGACAUGUGGACAGUAUGGGAGUGAGAAUGUUGGCAUGAGUAGCGAGAUGUGGGUGAGAAUCCCACAGGCCGUAAACCCAAGGUUUCCAGGGGAAGGUUCGUCCGCCCUGGGUUAGUCGGGACCUAAGCUGAGGCCGAAAGGCGUAGGUGAUGGACAACAGGUUGAUAUUCCUGUACUACCGAUAACCGUUUGAGAGAAGGGAUGACACAGUAGGAUAAGCUAAGCACACUGUUGGUUAUGUGUGCCCAAGCAUUGAGGCAGUCAAAGUAGGCAAAUCCGCUUUGAUAAUGCUGGGAUGUGAUGGGGAGCGAAAUUUAGUAGCGAAGUAGCUGAUUUCACACUGUCAAGAAAAGUCUCUAUCGAGGUUAAAGGUACCCGUACCGCAAACCGACACAGGUGGGUGAGGAGAGUAUCCUAAGGCCAGCGAGAGAACUGUUGUUAAGGAACUCGGCAAAAUGACCCCGUAACUUAGGGAUAAGGGGUGCCACCAUCAGGUGGCCGCAGAGAAUAGGCCCAAGCGACUGUUUACCAAAAACAUAGGUUUCUGCUAAGUCGCAAGACGAUGUAUAGGAGCUGACGCCUGCCCGGUGCUGGAAGGUUAAGGGGAUCUGUUAGAGCAAUCGAAGCAGUGAACUUAAGCCCCAGUAAACGGCGGCCGUAACUAUAACGGUCCUAAGGUAGCGAAAUUCCUUGUCGGGUAAGUUCCGACCCGCACGAAAGGCGUAACGAUUUGGGCACUGUCUCAACAACAGACUCGGUGAAAUUGUAAUUCCGGUGAAGAUGCCGGAUACCUGCGACAGGACGGAAAGACCCCAUGGAGCUUUACUGUAGCUUGACAUUGGGUCUUGGUACUACAUGUACAGGAUAGGUGGGAGGCUUUGAAACCAGGACGCCAGUUUUGGCGGAGCCAUCCUUGGGAUACCACCCUUGUAGUACUGGGACUCUAACCAUAGGCCAUGAAUCUGGUCUUGGGACACUGUCAGGUGGGCAGUUUGACUGGGGCGGUCGCCUCCCAAAAGGUAACGGAGGCGCUCAAAGGUUCUCUCAGUACGGUCGGAAAUCGUACGUAGAGUGUAAAGGCAAAAGAGAGCUUGAUUGCAAGACAUACAGGUCGAGCAAGGAUGAAAAUCGGACUUAGUGAUCCGGUGGUUCUGCGUGGAAGGGCCAUCGCUCAACGGAUAAAAGCUACCCUGGGGAUAACAGGCUUAUCUCCCCCAAGAGUCCACAUCGACGGGGAGGUUUGGCACCUCGAUGUCGGCUCAUCACAUCCUGGGGCUGUAGUAGGUCCCAAGGGUUGGGCUGUUCGCCCAUUAAAGUGGUACGCGAGCUGGGUUCAGAACGUCGUGAGACAGUUCGGUCCCUAUCCGUCGCAGGCGUAGGAAAUUUGAGAAGACCUGUCCUUAGUACGAGAGGACCGGGAUGGACGUACCUCUGGUGUACCAGUUGUCCUGCCAAGGGCAUGGCUGGGUAGCUAUGUACGGAAUGGAUAAGCGCUGAAAGCAUCUAAGCGCGAAGCCAACUUCAAGAUAAGAUUUCCCACCGCAAGGGUAAGACCCCAGAAAGACUAUCUGGUUGAUAGGUCGAAGGUGUAAGUGCAGCAAUGUAUUUAGCUUAUCGAUACUAAUAGGUCGAGGACUUGACCAA